GUGAUCCACCCACCUUGGCCUCCCAAAGUGCUGGGAUUAUAGGCAUGAGCCACUGUGCCCAGCCUACCUUUUCCUUUUUAAGAAGGUCCAGCUUAAAAAAUGUGUCCGACCUUUUUGUGAUGGGAGGAGCUCUUGUUUUAGAAUCUGCAGCUCUCUUGCACUGGCUAGAGAGGGAAGGUUACGGCCCUUUAGGAAUGACUGGAAUAUCCAUGGGAGGACACAUGGCUUCCUUAGCGGUAUCCAACUGGCCUAAGCCCAUGCCAUUGAUUCCAUGCCUGUCUUGGUCCACAGCAUCUGGGGUCUUCACUACGG
rnacentral:lncRNA from 1 species